GAGCAAAUCAAACACCUUCACAACCAAAACCCACCUAAAAAUCAACAACAUCCAACAGAUUAAGUUCCAAUAAAUAAAUAAAAAGAACACCCUUUAACUCCCUUACCUCAAAAAAUGGAAUCUUGUUCUUGAAAUUGCCUUAAAGUUUGAAACUUUGAGGGAAAAUCAAACAGGUUGCAAGAACAAAUUGAAGAAAACUUUUAAGGAUCUGAUACUGUGAAAGAAUUACAUGAA
rnacentral:misc_RNA from 1 species